CACACACCCCCACCCACUCAAUUAUCAUACAACAAAAAAGGUGGAGAGGAUUUUUCCUCCAUGACAAGGCUGAGACGCCGCGGCCAUUUCUGCCGCUGCACCGCCGCUGAGCGUACCACUUCCUAUUACCUGUACGUCACCCCCGAAAAUCCCUAAUUUUUUAGCCCUAGCCUGCGAUCUGGUGUCCUGCUUCUACUGAGGUUCCAGAACCCCAAGCUAUGCCGCCGGAAGAGAGCGCCGGUAAGUCGACUCUAGAGAAACCGCUUAACGAGCUGACUGAGGAUGACAUUGCUCAGGUCACUCGCGAGGACUGCCGCCGUUACCUCAAGGAGAAAGGAAUGAGGAGACCUUCCUGGAACAAGUCCCAGGCGAUUCAGCAAGUGAUAAUGUUGAAGGCGCUCCUCGAAACGACGCCGGAUUCCGACGCUGGUUCCCGCCGGAGGCGCCGUAUCACGCGCCGCUCUGAUGACAACCAAAGCGGCGGCAGCAGUUCUGCUCACCUCAUCAGUGAUCCUAAAGGAACAAGCCAAGAUGCGGAAGAUUCUCUGUGCAUAGACGAAGAUCCGCAAGGACCUGAUUGCACAGGCGGUUUCUCUGGUCGUCUCACUGCUGCCGGCAUUGAAUCUGCUCAAAUUAGACCUACAGAUUCAGCAAACUCAAUGGCAGGACAGAUGACAAUAUUUUACUGUGGUAAAAUAAAUGUGUAUGAUGAUGUGCCAGCAAACAAGGCGCAAGCAUUGCUACAUAUAGCUGCAAGUCCAUUAGAGCUUCCAGAAGGACAACUGGUCGAAAGUUCGAAAACAGUUCAGCAUUUACCUUGCACUUCAAAGGUUGUCUGCACCAAGCCCCAUCAAGAUUCUGUUGCUCUUGCCUCGCUGAAUCUCCAAACAGUGAAAAUGAGCAACAACUCUGUAGCACCCGGAGAAGAAGGUUAUAUUCUUCAUGAAGAGAAUACUGCCUAUUCCAUGCAGGGGAAGGGCCAUCAGCCCGAAAAGCAUCGUUACAGAGGUAUCUCGAGAAGAAAAAUAACAGGUGAAGGUUUAAGAGCAAGAGAAAGGCAGAAGCCGCAUCGUGUGCAAGCAUGGAUAUGUACUUUAACUAUCAGAUGCCGAGUAGAAACACUUUAACCCCGCCCCAAAUCAGACCAUCUUCUACCCCUGCCGGACAAUGAUGAUUCAGUCAAGACUCUGCUUUUCUACUCGUUUGUGUAACCAAGGUCUUUUGGUGGACAAGCGGUGGAUGAUUAAAGUGCUGAAGAAUGCAAUUUUUCAUCCGGAUAACUUUGAGUAGGCUACUAAUUGAUUCCCCUAAGUCAUGUACAUGUUUGUUUUUCUGCAUAACUAUGGUUUCAUUUGAUGACCAGUAAUCAAUCUGACGUUUCGAUCACA